AUUGAACGCUAGCGGCAGGCCUAACACAUGCAAGUCGAGCGAGAGGCGGACGGGUGAGUAAUGUAUGUGGCUCUGCCCGGGAGAGGGGGAUAACUACUGGAAACGGUUGCUAAUACCGCAUACUAUCGGAUGAACCCAUAGGGGAUUGGCUAGUAGGUGGGGUAAAGGCUCACCUAGGCGACGAUCUUUAGCUGGUCUGAGAGGAGGACCAGCCACACUGGGACUGAGACACGGCCCAGACGCCUACGGGAGGCAGCAGUGGGGAAUAUUGGACAAUGGGGGCAAGCCUGAUGCAGCCAUGCCGCGUGUAUGAAGAAGGCCUUCGGGUUGUAAAGUACUUUCAGCGGGGAGGCGUUACCCGCAGAAGAAGCACCGGCUAACUCCGUGCCAGCAGCCGCGGUAAUAC
rnacentral:rRNA from 1 species